GGGUUGUGAGGUUAAGCGACUAAGCGUACACGGUGGAUGCCCUGGCAGUCAGAGGCGAUGAAGGGCGUGCUAAUCUGCGAUAAGCGCCGGUAAGGUGAUAUGAACCGUUAUAACCGGCGAUACCCGAAUGGGGAAACCCAGUGUGACUCGUCACACUAUCAUUAACUGAAUCCAUAGGUUAAUGAGGCGAACCGGGGGAACUGAAACAUCUAAGUACCCCGAGGAAAAGAAAUCAACCGAGAUUCCCCCAGUAGCGGCGAGCGAACGGGGAGGAGCCCAGAGCCUGAAUCAGCAUGUGUGUUAGUGGAAGCGUCUGGAAAGGCGCGCGAUACAGGGUGACAGCCCCGUACACAAAAGCGCAUGUGCUGUGAGCUCGAUGAGUAGGGCGGGACACGUGGUAUCCUGUCUGAAUAUGGGGGGACCAUCCUCCAAGGCUAAAUACUCCUGACUGACCGAUAGUGAACCAGUACCGUGAGGGAAAGGCGAAAAGAACCCCGGCGAGGGGAGUGAAAAAGAACCUGAAACCGUGUACGUACAAGCAGUGGGAGCCCCACCACUAAGCCAGUGGUGAACUCCACAUACGCAUCCUUUGCUGAGGAUACGGUUAACGGAGCGAAAGCGACGUUCAACCGCAAAAGAAGCAGAGGGGGCUUAGUGGUGGGGUGACUGCGUACCUUUUGUAUAAUGGGUCAGCGACUUAUAUUCUGUAGCAAGGUUAACCGCAUAGGGGAGCCGGAGGGAAACCGAGUCUUAACCGGGCGUUAAGUUGCAGGGUAUAGACCCGAAACCCGGUGAUCUAGCCAUGGGCAGGUUGAAGGUUGGGUAACACUAACUGGAGGACCGAACCGACUAAUGUUGAAAAAUUAGCGGAUGACCUGUGGCUGGGGGUGAAAGGCCAAUCAAACCGGGAGAUAGCUGGUUCUCCCCGAAAGCUAUUUAGGUAGCGCCUCGUGAAUUCAUCUCCGGGGGUAGAGCACUGUUUCGGCUAGGGGGCCAUCCCGGCUUACCAACCCGAUGCAAACUGCGAAUACCGGAGAAUGUUAUCACGGGAGACACACGGCGGGUGCUAACGUCCGUCGUGAAGAGGGAAACAACCCAGACCGCCAGCUAAGGUCCCAAAGUCAUGGUUAAGUGGGAAACGAUGUGGGAAGGCCCAGACAGCCAGGAUGUUGGCUUAGAAGCAGCCAUCAUUUAAAGAAAGCGUAAUAGCUCACUGGUCGAGUCGGCCUGCGCGGAAGAUGUAACGGGGCUAAACCAUGCACCGAAGCUGCGGCAGCGACACUGUGUGUUGUUGGGUAGGGGAGCGUUCUGUAAGCCUGUGAAGGUGGCCUGUGAGGGUUGCUGGAGGUAUCAGAAGUGCGAAUGCUGACAUAAGUAACGAUAAAGCGGGUGAAAAGCCCGCUCGCCGGAAGACCAAGGGUUCCUGUCCAACGUUAAUCGGGGCAGGGUGAGUCGACCCCUAAGGCGAGGCCGAAAGGCGUAGUCGAUGGGAAACGGGUUAAUAUUCCCGUACUUGGUGUUACUGCGAAGGGGGGACGGAGAAGGCUAUGUUGGCCGGGCGACGGUUGUCCCGGUUUAAGCGUGUAGGUGUGUGUUCCAGGUAAAUCCGGUUCACUUUAACACUGAGGCGUGAUGACGAGGCACUACGGUGCUGAAGCAACAAAUGCCCUGCUUCCAGGAAAAGCCUCUAAGCAUCAGGUAACAUCAAAUCGUACCCCAAACCGACACAGGUGGUCAGGUAGAGAAUACCAAGGCGCUUGAGAGAACUCGGGUGAAGGAACUAGGCAAAAUGGUGCCGUAACUUCGGGAGAAGGCACGCUGACAUGUAGGUGAAGUGAUUUACUCAUGGAGCUGAAGUCAGUCGAAGAUACCAGCUGGCUGCAACUGUUUAUUAAAAACACAGCACUGUGCAAACACGAAAGUGGACGUAUACGGUGUGACGCCUGCCCGGUGCCGGAAGGUUAAUUGAUGGGGUCAGCGCAAGCGAAGCUCCUGAUCGAAGCCCCGGUAAACGGCGGCCGUAACUAUAACGGUCCUAAGGUAGCGAAAUUCCUUGUCGGGUAAGUUCCGACCUGCACGAAUGGCGUAAUGAUGGCCAGGCUGUCUCCACCCGAGACUCAGUGAAAUUGAACUCGCUGUGAAGAUGCAGUGUACCCGCGGCAAGACGGAAAGACCCCGUGAACCUUUACUAUAGCUUGACACUGAACAUUGAGCCUUGAUGUGUAGGAUAGGUGGGAGGCUUUGAAGUGUGGACGCCAGUCUGCAUGGAGCCGACCUUGAAAUACCACCCUUUAAUGUUUGAUGUUCUAACGUGGACCCGUUACCCGGGUUGCGGACAGUGUCUGGUGGGUAGUUUGACUGGGGCGGUCUCCUCCUAAAGAGUAACGGAGGAGCACGAAGGUUGGCUAAUCCUGGUCGGACAUCAGGAGGUUAGUGCAAUGGCAUAAGCCAGCUUGACUGCGAGCGUGACGGCGCGAGCAGGUGCGAAAGCAGGUCAUAGUGAUCCGGUGGUUCUGAAUGGAAGGGCCAUCGCUCAACGGAUAAAAGGUACUCCGGGGAUAACAGGCUGAUACCGCCCAAGAGUUCAUAUCGACGGCGGUGUUUGGCACCUCGAUGUCGGCUCAUCACAUCCUGGGGCUGAAGUAGGUCCCAAGGGUAUGGCUGUUCGCCAUUUAAAGUGGUACGCGAGCUGGGUUUAGAACGUCGUGAGACAGUUCGGUCCCUAUCUGCCGUGGGCGCUGGAGAACUGAGGGGGGCUGCUCCUAGUACGAGAGGACCGGAGUGGACGCAUCACUGGUGUUCGGGUUGUCAUGCCAAUGGCACUGCCCGGUAGCUAAAUGCGGAAGAGAUAAGUGCUGAAAGCAUCUAAGCACGAAACUUGCCCCGAGAUGAGUUCUCCCUGAGACUUAGAGUCUCCUGAAGGAACGUUGAAGACGACGACGUUGAUAGGCCGGGUGUGUAAGCGCAGCGAUGCGUUGAGCUAACCGGUACUAAUGAACCGUGAGGCUUAACCUUACAACGCCGAAG
rnacentral:rRNA from 1 species